ACAGGAUAUCACGAGCACCCCGGCCUCUGAUGGCCAGGCUCCACAUGCCAGCCAGCAAAUUGCCCAAGCCCCAGCCUAAAGAGAAGCCAAAAAAAGAGCCUAAACAGAAGACAAAAAAAGAGUCAAGUUCGGCGAAAGGACAAGGACCGGAACCAAAUCCAAAACUUCCAGAAUUGGUUUCUAGCAGUCACGACCUUCAGAACAGGAAAACAGCCUGAAGACAAGUCUGAACUACUCAUCCCAUACUGUGUAGCUCAGCGGCAUGUGUAUAAUGACAAAGUCAUUAUGUAACUUAACCUUGAGCUUUUUUUCUUGUAAUGCUCAGAGACUGAGCCGUUUUUCUAUACUAGGACCCAAUAAUGUCCCAUUGGUAACAGAAUAGGUUCUAGCUUCUUGUUCUUAAAAAAGAAAAAAUCAUUACAGGCAGAGGAAUGUGAGCCCUUUAAAUUUAAUGCUAAGAUAACAUGAAAUGAGGCUACUUACAGAAGAGCUGAGUACUGUUUUUUUAUCCCAAUUUCAUGCAGAGAUACACUCUGGAAAAUUCUUGAUUUGAAAUUUAUGUGCCUCGCUACACCAGCUCCGCUUCCACCUAUAAUCAGAUUUUUCAUUUGAUGUUCCAUUGAUAAGAUGAUGAUAAACACUGCAAAGAAAAACAAAACAAAAAAACUCUCCUGUCAGGUUAAACUCUACUGUCCAAAUUUUGGUUCUAAAAGCAAUAAAAGUGAAUCCUAACUUGUUAACAAUUUUCGAAGCUAAGUAAAAGUAGCAGCAAAAAUAGUUUGAUAGAGGUGAUUCCACCAAAAUCACAGUGAUACUUCAAACCACAUUUGAAAGGCAAAGUGUGUUUGUUGUGUGGGAAAAUAUACAUCCUAGUGCACAAAUGGAAAAAUAAGAUUACCCACAUGGAUCCGUGUUGAAUUCAACAUAAACUCAAACACACAAAACCCAUGUUGGUCAAACACACAAAUUUGAUUCAAAAAACCAUGGUAUUCAAGAUUGAAAAUUUGGUUUAAUAGCAUACUUAUCAUGUUGGUCAAACACAAAUUGAUUCAAAAAAACCAUAGUAUUCAAGAUUGAAAUUUUGGUUUAAUAGGGUUUUAUAUUGGGAACUUGGGAUCUAGUGCCAACUCGUCACGGUCAGACUCAAAACUGGGAUAGCAGGAUCACAAAAAGUGGGAUGGUUGGGCUAGUGAACUUUUGUCUACCAUAUAUACAUACUAAAUCAAUGAUAAAUACAUGAUAGAACAGAGGAGAAGGAGACAAAGUGGGUAGAAGACGCUCACCAGAGAUAGUUCAGAGGUCUUGUCGUGAUGGUCCUCGGUCGGCUCUAAGUCGAAGUGGAUAGAAGAUAGCGAAAGAUUGAACAAAAUACAGUGCUAGGGUUUUUUCCAUGGCGAAAACCCCUGAAUGGAAACCCCAACAUUUACAUUUGGGAAACAGUUUUGGAAUUGGGCAUUCACUAUCCCACCGGGAUUUUGGCUAGGAUCCCAGCGGGGAUGGCCGGGACUAUGAACUGGGUCGGGAUAGGAAAAUUCAUCACAUGCCUGGCUAAGACGAGAUUGACAACUUAUCGUGGGAUUAGGUUAUUGAAUGGCGAGUUGAAUUGUGAAUCAGAAUAGCUAUUUUUCGAAUCGCGCAUCAUUUUUUUCUUGUAAGAUAGAUACAUGAUUCACAAAAAAUCAAGUUAUAAAUGAAACAUAAGUUGAUAACAUAUAAUAAACUAUAAACCUUAAAAUAAUACAAGUUCUAAGCCAUAAAUCAAAAUAAGAAAAAAAGAUAGGAGGUGCUUGCAUAAGGUAAGGUAUUCAACCCCUUCAAAAAACAUGACCAAAUGCAAAUUAUUUUCCUACUUCAUAUACUUAGAUCCAAGUAAAUAAUCAUAAUCUAACUAAUUGAAUCAUUCAUCAUCCCCAAAUUCAACACUAGUGUUAUUGAAUAGUCGUCCUGGCAAUAUCUCAUGGUGGAUUUUUGGCUCAUCCCCAUCUCAAGUGCAACUCGCCCACAACUUUAAAUCGUAAGAUUUAACAACGAAUCACAAAUCGUAAAAUUCACUGCUGACUCGAAGAUACAUAAUGAGAAUCAAGUUCAUUUUAGGUUCACACACCAUACUUAUUGUUGCCUUAAUAAUUUGUAUCGUAUCAUCAUGAUCAUGACACGCAUCUUGGUAUCAAUGUCAUACCAAUAACUAUGUCAUACAUAAAGGUUUUGUGAGGAUGAAGAUGAAGGGAAGGUUCAAACCUUGAGGAGGGGCUAAUUUACUAACAACUAAUAUUUUCCUAUAAAAAAAUACCGAUUUGGGGCAGUAAUGAUUCAUGAACCACUACAUAGUAAAACACCCCUAAACACCCCUUUUUCCUGCAGAUUUGGCCAAAUAAUACACUGAACUAACCACCUAAAUACACAUGACUUACCAUAAAGCACAGAACCGUGUAAAAUUGAAAUUCCUAAAUUAGGGAUUUGGCCAAAUAAUACACUGAACUAACCACCUAAAUACACAUGACUUACCAUAAAGCACAGAACCGUGUAAAAUUGAAAUUCCUAAAUUAGGGAUUUGGCCAAAUAAUACACUGAACUAACCACCUUUUACACGGUUCUGUGCUUUAUGGUUAGUCAUGUGUAUUUAGGUGGUUAGUUCAGUGUAUUAUUUGGUCAAAUCCGCAGAAAAAAUGGUGUUUAGGGUGUUUCUACUAUUCAGUGGUUCAGGAAUCAUUUUUCGAUUUGGAGAAAAGAAAAUAGUCGGAUUCCAGAUUUAACAUGCCAAAAUCACUUCUCUUCACAAGGUGGUUAGUUCAGUGUAUUAUUUGGUCAAAUCCGCAGAAAAAAUGGUGUUUAGGGUGUUUCUACUAUUCAGUGGUUCAGGUAUCAUUUUUCGAUUUGGAGAAAAGUAACUAGUCGGAUUCCGGAUUUAACAUGCCAAAAUCACUUCUCUUCACAAGAGCUAUUCUUAUAGCAUGUUUGGAUCGGCGGUGGCAUAAACCCAAAACACAUGAAUCCCAAAAAUUACACUCCUAAUAGUUACUCCCCGAAUCAAUAUUCUUAUAAUGCCCAAACUUCAAUCGUUCUGCAGCCAAAAAAAUCUAUAAAAAAACAAACAACUAAAAAAUAAAUAUUUAUGCAGCUAUGCUAGUAUAUAUUCACCCAGUUCACAAAAUCAACAACACAAUAAAAUCAAACUAACUGCAAAGUGACGAAGAGGAAACGAAUAUGGAGAAGAAGCUUACCUUGGUUUUCGUGCUAAGAGAUGAAACGGAGAGAAAAUCGAACUUCUGAGAUGUGCGCGGCGAGGUAGAGAAGAAGAGAAACAGAAAGUGGAGCGGUUUGGUGAAAUGUUUUGCGAAUUGGCUGUUUUUGCCGCCUUAGCGCCAUUUUCAUAUGCUUUUCUUCCCUCCCUGAAUUUUCGAGAAUUUUGGUGUGGAAAUUUUGCCGCUGGAAUGGGGAAAAUGUUUACAUCAGUUUAGGGAUUUGACUCGACUAAAGUGAAGACGAAACUUUCUUUCUAAAGGUAAAGUUACUUCCUGC
rnacentral:lncRNA from 1 species